rnacentral:misc_RNA from 1 species
UUUUUCCCUGCUUCUUUUGAGGUGUUGGGUGGGUGGGAUGUUAUGUGUCAAUCAUUGAAUGAUCUGACUUUUUCCUUUGGAUAUUUUUUGAAGAAUAGCUUGUAUACAUGUUAAAACCCAUGCAUGUGAAUAUAAACUGGUGACAUUUGCUUCAUCUUUGUUGUACUGACAAAAGGUUGUAGAUUCUGCAAAUGACAUAUUAAGCACAUAAGCAUUAAAAAAAUUCAUGGUGUGGUGAGAUUGUCAACCCCAUUAAGAAAGGGGUUAAUAUAUACAAUCAAAUGAAUAAAUAUAACAAACAAAUUCUAAACUCAAUUAGCCUCCAAUGUUAAUGUGAAAAUGCACAUUUGGGUUAGUGUUGGAAUCUUCAUCUGUUUCAGAGUAUAACAUCUCACCUAUACCUUUGAUGCUGUUUAUCUUUCAAAAGAAAUAUAUUGGCAGGUCUCAAAUGUUGUACAGUUGUUUUAAAAAAUCCUGAUGUGUCUUUUAUAAAGAAUUAGUAUCACGUGAUAAAAUUUGUUUGGGUUUGAAGUGCUUCAAAACUUGUUAUGUGAUUUUACCUCACCUUAUGUGUUUUCCUGUGUUAGUCACUUUUGUAGAUUUCUGCUAUCUUACAAUAGUGAUUGGUCUAUUCUAAUUGGCUGAUUAAACCUCAAAAUCCUCCCCCCUUUAUAUUACCCAAUGAGAAAUAAUGAAUCUCUAUUCUCUAAUCUCUUUCUUUCUUCACAUGGCAUGCAUUCAUCAAAUCACCUCUAUUUGCAUCUCUGACAGCUACAGCAAUCACAUUUCUUAAGUGUUCCUUUUAUUUUAGAAUUUGGAGAAAAAAGAAAUUCUAGUAAUUAAUCUCAAUGCUAUGAGGUUCGUGCCUUGCCUGAAGGUGAUAAAGGGUCUUAUUUCUCAUUUUGUCAUCUGAAUUUCAUCAUUCCAGCAUCUAAAAGGAAACUAUCAAGUCAUACAUAGAAAAAAAGAGUUCCUUGUAGGUUGUAGCAAGAAAGAAUUUUUCAGCAAUCUUUUUCUUUUUUAAUUUGAUCUUUGACCAUCUUAGCUAUGUUGAUUAAUUGGAAAAUUUGGAAUUACACUUCUGAUUUGGAUUCUGGAAUUUCAAUAUGCCAUUAGCAUGAAAAUAAUUGCUUUGCAUUUGUUGAGUGUGACAAUCUGUGCCUAGCCUAUUACUUGCAAAUCACAUUUCUGCUACGAGUCACUUGUCUUCUCUGAUUAUGAUCCUAGUUAUGUUUUUGCUAUCUAGUUUUAUUAUACUGCUAAGAGAUUAGUGUGACUCAAUCAAUUCCUUUUCCUCUAUGACCGUGCAAUCUACUGUUCAGUAAAUGUAAUCUUGUUCUGAUUCAAUUGUAG